AUUGAACGCUGGCGGCAGGCCUAACACAUGCAAGUCGAGCGGAUGAAGAGAGCUUGCUCUCUGAUUUAGCGGCGGACGGGUGAGUAAUGCCUAGGAAUCUGCCUGGUAGUGGGGGAUAACGUCCGGAAACGGGCGCUAAUACCGCAUACGUCCUACGGGAGAAAGCAGGGGACCUUCGGGCAUUGCGCUUACAGAUGAGCCUAGGUCGGAAUAGCUAGUUGGCGAGGGAAUGGCUCACCAAGGCUACGAUCCGGAACUGGUCUGAGAGGAUGAUCAGUCACACCGGAACUGAGACACGGUCCAGACUCCUACGGGAGGCAGCAGUGGGGAAUAUUGGACAAUGGGCGAGAGCCUGAUCCAGCCAUGCCGCGUGUGUGAAGAAGGUCUUCGGAUUGUAAAGCACUUUAAGUUGGGAGGAAGGGCAGUAAGUUAAUACCUUGCUGUUUUGACGUUACCGACAGAAUAAGCACCGGCUAACUUCGUGCCAGCCGCCGCCGUAAAAC
rnacentral:rRNA from 1 species